rnacentral:rRNA from 1 species
GAUCAUGGCUCAGAUUGAACGCUGGCGGCAGGCCUAACACAUGCAAGUCGAGCGGAAACGAGUUAUCUGAACCUUCGGGGAACGAUAACGGCGUCGAGCGGCGGACGGGUGAGUAAUGCCUAGGAAAUUGCCCUGAUGUGGGGGAUAACCAUUGGAAACGAUGGCUAAUACCGCAUGAUGCCUACGGGCCAAAGAGGGGGACCUUCGGGCCUCUCGCGUCAGGAUAUGCCUAGGUGGGAUUAGCUAGUUGGUGAGGUAAGGGCUCACCAAGGCGACGAUCCCUAGCUGGUCUGAGAGGAUGAUCAGCCACACUGGAACUGAGACACGGUCCAGACUCCUACGGGAGGCAGCAGUGGGGAAUAUUGCACAAUGGGCGCAAGCCUGAU